GUGGGGAAUCUUGCGCAAUGGGCGAAAGCCUGACGCAGCCAUGCCGCGUGGAUGAUGAAGGUCUUAGGAUUGUAAAAUCCUUUCACCGGUGAAGAUAAUGGCUGUAGCCGGAGAAGAAGCCCCGGCUAACUUCGUGCCAGCAGCCGCGGUAAUACGAAGGGGGCUAGCGUUGCUCGGAUUUACUGGGCGUAAAGGGCGCGUAGGCGGACAUUUAAGUCAGGGGUGAAAUCCCGGGGCUCAACCUCGGAACUGCCUUUGAUACUGGGUGUCUUGAGUAUGAGAGAGGUGUGUGGAACUCCGAGUGUAGAGGUGAAAUUCGUAGAUAUUCGGAAGAACACCAGUGGCGAAGGCGCCACACUGGCUCAUUACUGACGCUGAGGCGCGAAAGCGUGGGGAGCAAACAGGAUUAGAUACCCUGGUAGUCC
rnacentral:rRNA from 1 species